GAUCGGGGUCACGAAAUUCAAGUUCAACAGACCGGAAUGCAGGGCUUUCUCUUUUUCGGGAGAUUGCUUUGCGCUUUGACCACCCUGCUGAACAGAGUGAUC